CGAUACGCGGGGCCCAAGCCCAAUAAAUAAAGUCCAUCAAAGCCAACUAAGAAGAAGGACAAAAGAGUCAUUUUACACAUAGGGGGGAGAGCUUAGAAAGGAAGGGUUGCAACAUGGAAGGCACACAAGACUUCAGUUCCAGAACAUGCCAGAUGCUUNCUUCAUCCAUUUCACGCAUCCACAAGUAGCUGCUGGUAUUACAUUACACCAUGGCAAAUACUAGCAUCUUUUGCACGUGUUUGUUGUGCCUUCUAGAAAUAUUUAGCAUUUAGCACAUGCCUCCAUGUGGACUGUGAUNCGUGAUUAGUGGCAUUAUUCAGCACCGUCUAGAUUAGCUUUUGCGAGGAAUACUUU
rnacentral:lncRNA from 1 species